CUGUCAUCUACCAUAAUACUCUCUACUAUGGAUUUUAAUUGGUAGCAAUGAUUUCAAAACUUGACUGCUGUUGAGUUUUAGAUGAAUCAUCUUACCCAGCCCCUGCCCAUGCCUCCAACUGCAUCUUGAGCUACUCUCCAUUUGCUGAGGGCAUUUGCUCAGGACACUCCAGCUCCACUAGCCUUUUCCAGCUCCUCCAGCACUACGCUGACCUCCUUCCAACUCAUCCAACACAUCAAACUACUUCCUGCCUCAGAGCCUUCCCUCUGCUUGGACAUCUUUUUCUCCAUUUCUUGCUUGACCAACUUGUUUCUACUCAACUUCCAGAUUCCUGUUUUAAGGUUGGUUUUAAGAGCAGCCUUCUGAGAUCCUCCCAAGGUCAAGGGUUAGUCACCUGGUAAGAAGCUGCCAAUUGCAAAUAAGAGUGUGCACUUGCUGGAUGUCUUCUGUUUGCUCUCUUGACCCACCUUCUACCAUUCCCCACCUUCUUCUUUGCCUCCGGAAGGGAGCUUUCUGGACUGCACCAACAAGCUACUUUGUCCUCUGGCUUGUCCUCGGAUUCAGUCAGUGGGAGGUACCCACAAGGUGACUUAGAAGGCAGAAGAGGAAUGAGCACUUGGUCAUGUAAACAGAUCAUUGUCGUUUUCAAUGUGAAGUUACUUGGCUGCCUUGGAAAAAAGUUUAAUCAUUGGGAUACUGCUUCAGCAUUUUCUCCAAGAAGUUCAUUCACAAGGCUAGGCCAAGAGGGAGGCAGAGCAAGACAGCUGGAUAGAAGCCUCCACCAAUCACCCUGCUCACAGCAACACCAAAAUGAACAAUUAUCCAUAAAAAAAAAAGGAACUUAACAAGAACCAAAAGUCAGUAAACAAGCACUCGCGCUGAAAAAGAUAAACUAUCACUGUACAAUGUGGGAUGACAAAACCAUGUUUUCCAGAACAAAGAGGAAAAAAAUGUUCAAAUCUGAAUUCAUAUCACAAAUGAGGGAAGUCUGGUGAAAGGAUGAUUAAAAAGUCUGUUGCUGGUAGGAUCUACAACCAGUUUGUAGGAACUAUGUAACCUGCUAGGACCUGGGCAUCUAUUUUGGGUCCCACCACCACAGCUAUCAUCAAAAGUGGUUAUUAUCAGCACCUGAAAGCAGGGAGGAGACAGUACAGUGAGGAAAAGCAUCUGACAAGGCCAGCUGGGGCAGAGGAUGGGAAGGAUGGAGACACCUUGGUUUGGAAGGCUAGGAAGCAGGCAAAGACUGGCUGUCACUUCAAAUCACUAACCGGGCCCACUGAUUCCAUCUACAAUCCUAACCCACCUCCUCGGGACUCCCUAUGCCUUCCUACCAGUGAAAUGCGAAAUAGCAGCACCUACCACAGCCAAGAGAGCACUUAACACAACAGCAGUUUAUGGACACGAAGAAGAGAAGGGAGAAUAAAGAGGAAAAUGAUGUUGAUCUAAAAGUCUCACUCUGGUCCCUUUUAUAAUAGAUAUUUUACUUUGAAAUAAACA
rnacentral:lncRNA from 10 species